rnacentral:rRNA from 1 species
UACGAAGGGGACUAGCGUUGUUCGGAAUUACUGGGCGUAAAGGGCGCGUAGGCGGCCUUCUAAGUCGAACGUGAAAUCCCCGGACUCAACCCGGGAACUGCGUCCGAUACUGGAAGGCUUGAAUCCGGGAGAGGGAUGCGGAAUUCCAGGUGUAGCGGUGAAAUGCGUAGAUAUCUGGAGGAACACCGGUGGCGAAGGCGGCAUCCUGGACCGGUAUUGACGCUGAGGCGCGAAAGCCAGGGGAGCAAACGGG